rnacentral:rRNA from 1 species
UUUAAUUCGAUGCAACGCGAAGAACCUUACCUGGUCUUGACAUCCACGGAANUUUUCAGAGAUGGGAAUGUGCCUUCGGGAACCGUGAGACAGGUGCUGCAUGGCUGUCGUCAGCUCGUGUUGUGAAAUGUUGGGUUAAGUCCCGCAACGAGCGCAACCCUUAUCUUUUGUUGCCAGCGGUCCGGCCGGGAACUCAAAGGAGACUGCCAGUGAUAAACUGGAGGAAGGUGGGGAUGACGUCAAGUCAUCAUGGCCCUUACGACCAGGGCUACACACGUGCUACAAUGGCGCAUACAAAGAGAAGCGACCUCGCGAGAGCAAGCGGACCUCAUAAAGUGCGUCGUAGUCCGGAUUGGAGUCUGCAACUCGACUCCAUGAAGUCGGAAUCGUCUA